AUUGAACGCUGGCGGCAGGCCUAACACAUGCAAGUCGAGCGGAUGAAGGGAGCUUGCUCCUGGAUUCAGCGGCGGACGGGUGAGUAAUGCCUAGGAAUCUGCCUGGUAGUGGGGGAUAACGUCCGGAAACGGGCGCUAAUACCGCAUACGUCCUGAGGGAGAAAGUGGGGGAUCUUCGGACCUCACGCUAUCAGAUGAGCCUAGGUCGGAUUAGCUAGUUGGUGGGGUAAAGGCCUACCAAGGCGACGAUCCGUAACUGGUCUGAGAGGAUGAUCAGUCACACUGGAACUGAGACACGGUCCAGACUCCUACAGGAGGCAGCAGUGGGGUAUAUUGGACAAUGGGCGAAAGCCUGAUCCAGCCAUGCCGCGUGUGUGAAGAAGGUCUUCGGAUUGUAAAGCACUUUAAGUUGGGAGGAAGGGCAGUAAGUUAAUACCUUGCUGUUUUGACGUUACCAACAGAAUAAGCACCGGCUAACUUCGUG
rnacentral:rRNA from 1 species